CGUCAACCUUGUCCUUGGUCUUCUCUCUUGAUUGAGGCAGAUGUUUAUUUUUCCAUCUGUACUAUAUGUCAGUGCAACUGCAGCCUUCAUCUGGCAAAGGGUGCCUGUAAUAUUAUGAGGCCAUCACAUAAGCUGCUGGAAAGAUUAUUCUGGUGAAUAAAAUCAGUUUAUAGCUAAAAACAUUUAUUCUUCAUUUUGAUAAGCCCUUAACAAAUGGAAAUUUGCUUCCUUACUCUUUUGCCAAGCAUAGGACCAUGUUUAUUUCUCGCUAUAUGGGUCACGAAGGAUUCCCAGCUGUUAGCUAGAGUCAGUUGUGCAUUGCUGCACUCAACAACAUCUGUUUCACAAAAACAGUAUCCAGCUUUUAGCACUCAAAUGGAGGUUAGACCAUAUGCCGGCAGACCACUUAGUUUUUACCUUGGGAACUAACUUUGCCCUAGUCAAGGUAACAGAGGAAAAACUGAAUAUUUAAAUGUUACCAGGCUUCAGUCACAUCUUCAUAUGUGCUUGUCAUUUCCCACUAUAUAUAGUAAAAUUAGUUCCAAGCAUAUACUGCAAGCUGUUCCUCUGUUUAAUUAUUAAUUGGAAGAAAGUUUGCAAAACAGUUGAAAUGUAUUUCAUGAUAGACGCUGUUGUUGAAAGUAGUACCAUAAGAUGAUUUUGCAAAUAGAGCAUUCAGUUAAAAUGUCAAUUAAUAUUAGCAAUGGUCAAAAGCAAAUCAGGCUUG
rnacentral:lncRNA from 1 species